UGACUAAGGGUUCCUGGGUCAAGCUGAUCUGCCCAGGGUAAGUCGGGACCUAAGGCGAGGCCGACAGGCGUAGUCGAUGGAUAACCGGUUGAUAUUCCGGUACCCGCUGUGAAGCGUCAAACAUCGAAUCCAGUGAUGCUAAGGCCGUGAAGCCGCCCCUGAUCUCUUCGGAGUGAGGGGGAGUGGUGGAGCCGCUGAACCAAGUUGGUAGUAGGUGAGUGAUGGGGUGACGCAGGAAGGUAGUCCAUCCCGGGCGGUGGUUGUCCCGGGGUAAGGGUGUAGGACGUCAGGUAGGUAAAUCCGCCUGGCAAUAGUCUGAGACCUGAUGCCGAGCCGAUUGUGGUGAAGUGGAUGAUCCUAUGCUGUCGAGAAAAGCCUCUAGCGAGUUUCAUGGCGGCCCGUACCCUAAACCGACUCAGGUGGUCAGGUAGAGAAUACCGAG
rnacentral:rRNA from 2 species